rnacentral:lncRNA from 1 species
UGGGGUUUCUUCGCAACGUGAAGAGAUGUGGCAUGGAGGAUUUAAUUAUCACAUGGGGUGACUUGGUUUGGGUUUAGUCCUAUUCCAAAUAGGAUUCAAGAUCUUGAUCCAAUUCUAACUAAUUCUUGGAUACAAUCCUAACUAACUUAGGAAUUAGUUAUAACAAACUAACUAAUUAGGUCCUAACUCAAUUAUUAGGCUUCAAUUGAAUCAUAAUUAGUUAGAUAAA